AUGGAAAAGAUGUGCAAAAAAGCAAAAUGGCUGUCUGGGGAGGCCUUACAAAUAGCUGUGAAAAGAAUAGAAGUGAAAAGCAAAGGAGAAAAGGAAAGAUAUAAACAUCUGAAUGCAGAGUUCCAAAGAAUAGCAAGAAGAGAUAAGAAAGCCUUCUUCAGUGAUCAAUGCAAAGAAAUAGAGGAAAACAACAGAAUGGGAAAGACUAGAGAUUUCUUCAAGAAAAUCAGAGAUACCAAAGGAACACUUCAUGCAAAGAUGGGCUCAAUAAAGGACAGAAAUGGUAUGGACCUAACAGAAGCAGAAAAUAUUAAGAUGAGAUGGCAAGAAUACACAGAAGAACUGUACAAAAAAGAUCUUCACGACCCAGAUAAUCACGAUGGUGUCAUCACUGACCUAGAGCCAGACAUCCUGGAAUGUGAAGUCAAGUGGGCCUUAGAAAGCAUCACUAUGAACAAAGCUAGUGGAGGUGAUAGAAUUCCAGUUGAGCUAUUCCAAAUCCUGAAAGAUGAUGCUGUGAAAGUGCUGCACUCAAUAUGCCAGCAAAUUUGGAAAACUCAGCAGUGGCCACAGGACUGGAAAAGGUCAGUUUUCAUUCCAAUCCCAAAGAAAGGCAAUACCAAAGAAUGCUCAAACUACUGCACAAUUGCACUCAUCUCACAUGCUAGUAAAGUAAUUCUCAAAAUUCUCCAAGCCAGGCUUCAGCUAUAUGUUAACCAUGAACUUCCUGAUGUUCAAGCUGGUUUUAGAAAAGGCAGAGGAACCAGAGAUCAAAUUGCCAACAUCUGCUGGAUCAUGGAAAAAGCAAGAGAGUUCCAGAAAAACAUCUAUUUCUACUUUAUUGACUAUUCCAAAGCCUUUGACUGUGUGGAUCACAAUAAACUGUGGAAAAUUCUGAAAGAGAUGGGAAUACCAGACCACCUGAUCUGCCUCUUGAGAAAUUUGUAUGCAGGUCAGGAAGCAACAGUUAGAAAUGGACAUGGAACAACAGACUGGUUCUAA
rnacentral:lncRNA from 1 species